CAGUAGCCGCGGUAAUACGGAGGGUGCAAGCGUUAAUCGGAAUUACUGGGCGUAAAGCGCACGCAGGCGGUCUGACAAGUCAGAUGUGAAAUCCCCGGGCUUAACCUGGGAACUGCAUUUGAAACUGUCAGGCUGGAGUCUUGUAGAGGGGGGUGGAAUUCCAGGUGUAGCGGUGAAAUGCGUAGAGAUCUGGAGGAAUACCGGUGGCGAAGGCGGCCCCCUGGACAAAGACUGACGCUCAGGUGCAAAAGCGUGGGGAGCAAACAGGAUUAGAUACCCCAGUAGUCCCUGUCUCUUAUAA
rnacentral:rRNA from 1 species